UUAAAUUGAAGAGUUUGAUCAUGGCUCAGAUUGAACGCUGGCGGCAGGCCUAACACAUGCAAGUCGAACGGUAACAGGAAGAAGCUUGCUUCUUUGCUGACGAGUGGCGGACGGGUGAGUAAUGUCUGGGAAACUGCCUGAUGGAGGGGGAUAACUACUGGAAACGGUAGCUAAUACCGCAUAACGUCGCAAGACCAAAGAGGGGGACCUUCUGGCCUCUUGCCAUCGGAUGUGCCCAGAUGGGAUUAGCUAGUAGGUGGGGUAACGGCUCACCUAGGCGACGAUCCCUAGCUGGUCUGAGAGGAUGACCAGCCACACUGGAACUGAGACACGGUCCAGACUCCUACGGGAGGCAGCAGUGGGGAAUAUUGCACAAUGGGCGCAAGCCUGAUGCAGCCAUGCCGCGUGUAUGAAGAAGGCCUUCGGGUUGUAAAGUACUUUCAGCGGGGAGGAAGGGAGUAAAGUUAAUACCUUUGCUCAUUGACGUUACCCGCAGAAGAAGCACCGGCUAACUCCGUGCCAGCAGCCGCGGUAAUACGGAGGGUGCAAGCGUUAAUCGGAAUUACUGGGCGUAAAGCGCACGCAGGCGGUUUGUUAAGUCAGAUGUGAAAUCCCCGGGCUCAACCUGGGAACUGCAUCUGAUACUGGCAAGCUUGAGUCUCGUAGAGGGGGGUAGAAUUCCAGGUGUAGCGGUGAAAUGCGUAGAGAUCUGGAGGAAUACCGGUGGCGAAGGCGGCCCCCUGGACGAAGACUGACGCUCAGGUGCGAAAGCGUGGGGAGCAAACAGGAUUAGAUACCCUGGUAGUCCACGCCGUAAACGAUGUCGACUUGGAGGUUGUGCCCUUGAGGCGUGGCUUCCGGAGCUAACGCGUUAAGUCGACCGCCUGGGGAGUACGGCCGCAAGGUUAAAACUCAAAUGAAUUGACGGGGGCCCGCACAAGCGGUGGAGCAUGUGGUUUAAUUCGAUGCAACGCGAAGAACCUUACCUGGUCUUGACAUCCACAGAACUUUCCAGAGAUGGAUUGGUGCCUUCGGGAACUGUGAGACAGGUGCUGCAUGGCUGUCGUCAGCUCGUGUUGUGAAAUGUUGGGUUAAGUCCCGCAACGAGCGCAACCCUUAUCCUUUGUUGCCAGCGGUCCGGCCGGGAACUCAAAGGAGACUGCCAGUGAUAAACUGGAGGAAGGUGGGGAUGACGUCAAGUCAUCAUGGCCCUUACGACCAGGGCUACACACGUGCUACAAUGGCGCAUACAAAGAGAAGCGACCUCGCGAGAGCAAGCGGACCUCAUAAAGUGCGUCGUAGUCCGGAUUGGAGUCUGCAACUCGACUCCAUGAAGUCGGAAUCGCUAGUAAUCGUGGAUCAGAAUGCCACGGUGAAUACGUUCCCGGGCCUUGUACACACCGCCCGUCACACCAUGGGAGUGGGUUGCAAAAGAAGUAGGUAGCUUAACCUUCGGGAGGGCGCUUACCACUUUGUGAUUCAUGACUGGGGUGAAGUCGUAACAAGGUAACCGUAGGGGAACCUGCGGUUGGAUCACCUCCUUACCUUAAAGAAGC
rnacentral:rRNA from 1 species